UACAGGGGGGGCAAGCGUUGUUCGGAAUUACUGGGCGUAAAGCGCACGUAGGCGGAUUUGUAAGUCAGGGGUGAAAUCCCGGGGCUCAACCUCGGAACUGCCUUUGAUACUGCAAGUCUCGAGUCCGAUAGAGGUGAGUGGAAUUCCUAGUGUAGAGGUGAAAUUCGUAGAUAUUAGGAAGAACACCAGUGGCGAAGGCGGCUCACUGGAUCGGUACUGACGCUGAGGUGCGAAAGCGUGGGGAGCAAACAGGG
rnacentral:rRNA from 1 species